rnacentral:tRNA from 1 species
GACUGUGUAGCUCAGUUGGUAGAGCAUCGAUCUAGUAAUACGAAGGUCGCGGGUUCGAAACCCAUGCAGCCG